GGAUGUGAGGACGAUCUGGCUGUGACAUCUGUCACUUCAUUGAUCUCCAGGGUUGAUUUGGCUGAUCUGGCUGGCUAGGUGGGUGUCCCUUUCCUCCCUCACCACUUCAUGUGUGUCCCUCCAAAGCUGCAUGCUCAAUCAAAGAGGAUGACCAUCCCCAAUAGAGGAGGACUGGUCUUAGGUCAAGGGUAUAUUAGUAGCUGCAUUCCCCUGCUAGAACCUCCAAACAAGCUCUCAAUAAGAUGUAUUUGAUAUUCUCAUGUUCAAUAAGUUUAUAUGUAAUAACUUAUCAGUAAAAUUUUAAUUGUGGUUAAAAUG
rfam:Papio anubis isolate 1X1155 chromosome 6, whole genome shotgun sequence.